rnacentral:snRNA from 14 species
ACAGUCACCAAGAGGAGACAUUCUGAUCAGAAAAGUGGUUUUCUCCAGAGUGCAGCACAUCUCUUUCACUCCAGGGGUGAUGAAACUUGUGAUUUCCCAAAAUGCUGAAAGCUCCAUUGCAUCAUUUAUGGUUGUGGGACACUUC